AUACUUACCUGGCAAGGGAGAUACCGUGAUCAAGAAGGCGGUUCACCCAGGGCGAGGCUCAGCCAUUGCACUCCAGCUGUGCUGACCCCUGCGAAUUUCCCAAAUGUGGAAAUCUCGAUUGCAUAAUUUAUGGUAGUGGGGGACUGCGUUCGCGCUCGCCCCUG
rnacentral:snRNA from 8 species